rnacentral:tRNA from 1 species
GAGAGGCUACUGCCAGCAGCAAAGGCCGCUACCCUUCGCAACUUCGGUUGGAGCCCGAAGCUCCCUC